CCCUUAGAUGUCCUGGGCCGCACGCGCGCUACACUGAUGCAUUCAACGAGUUCUACCUUGGCCGAGAGGCCUGGGCAAUCUUUUGAACCUGCAUCGUGAUAGGGAUAGAUUAUUGCAAUUAUUAAUCUUGAACGAGGAAUUCCUAGUAAACGCAGAUCAUCAAUCUGCAUUGAUUACGUCCCUGCCCUUUGUACACACCGCCCGUCGCACCUACCGAUUGAAUGGUCCGGUGAAGCCUCGGGAUUGUGGCGAGUUCCCUUUAUUGGGAGUUUGUCGCGAGAACUUGUCUAAACCUUAUCAUUUAGAGGAAGGUGAAGUCGUAACA
rnacentral:rRNA from 1 species